UUUUCAGAAAUGCGGAAUGAUAACAGAAUUGGUCCAGAGCAGUGUCAAUCAGGAAAUCAAACAAUAUGCAUGUCUGAAGAUGUGGAAAAGGUUCGCUGUGCAGUAACUGAGCCAAUGCCACAAGAAUGUGUGGAUAAGAUUAUGGAGUUUGUACAAGGAAAUUUAUGCUCCGGAGCCGAAGUUUGAUGAUAUCGAAAUUUAAAUUGUAAAUAUAACUGUUGCCACCUUUUAUGAUGAAACAUGAAAUGUGGAUGAAAUAAAUAUAUUCAAUUAUAAA